rnacentral:misc_RNA from 1 species
AACGGUCUAUACCUGCGGUACCUGCGGAGGGAUCAUUAUAGAGUGGUAAACCUCCCGUAAAAGGGGGGGACCUCCUGUCCUUUGUAGGCUCUUUUUUAAAAGGGCUUUUUUUAAUUUUCUGCUUCGGUGGGGUUAUCCCACCGGAACAACCUCAAAACUCUCAUCACAAAAUCGUUCUGUCUGAGAACCUUUUAUAAUAAAAAAAAACUUUCAGCAACGGAUCUCUAGAUCGGAAGAGCA